GGGCCGGUGGUCUAGCUUGGUAUGACGCCGCCCUCACGCGGCGGAGGACCCCGGUUCAAAUCCGGGCCGGCCCACCA
rnacentral:tRNA from 1 species